AUUGAAUUGCGAAAUACAGGUUUAAUCUAUUUAGAUUAUAAAAGGGAAGCAGGUGAAAGUCCUGUACGGUCCCGCCGCUGUAAAUGUGGAGCCAUUACACUUCUAAGCCACUGGUUAUCCGGGAAGGCGUGUCAUGGUGAUGAUGCUAAGUCAGAAGACCUGCCUGUAUUUAAAAACACCA
rnacentral:ncRNA from 1 species